GGAUUUAGCGAGAAAGGGACGGGGAGGAGGACACACGCCGCGGCGACGACGCGUGUAGAGUCCGCUCACGAAGGUUGGGUAGAGGAGAGGGAGGAGGUGUAGAGGCCGGUUCCGCGAGUGAAGAGAUCGGGAGGAGGUGUAGAGGAGCGGAGGUGGGUAGGUGAAGGACAGGAAACCAAGAGGUUCUGACGUCAUACCACGAGCCGCCGACGAUGUUGCCUCGACUACCACGCGGUCGGCUGGUCAACUUACCUCCGUCAUCGUUCCCCGUCGCCGUUGUCGGAUAUCCCGCCUCCAACUAACCGUUCCAUUACCUUGACGUUUAUCCUCACCGUCGCCGUUGGUACUACGUUCACGUUCACCAAGGGUUUCUAGAACCUUUCCAAGUUAAUUUCACUCUUACUCCUAUUACUACCCCACUCACUCCUGUUCCUUCUACCAGGUAGUUACGUUCUAGUCGUUCUCCGUGUUUACGUUCACCUUUUUCUCUGCGUUUAAGUUCACCUUUACCUGUGUGGCGGUUUGCUACCGUUAAACCUCUGGGCAUCUAGACAUGCCGAACAGUUCUUCUUCUGGUUCCUGCAGUUGUUGGAUAUGAACAACGAAUCUUUAGACGCCUUUACGGUGUACUUCUUGAUUCCUAUAGUUCUACGAAACCCUACAUACGUUCGAACCUCGACGACAAAAUAUCUUUACCGCACACAUCUUUAUCUUAUUGGUUCCUAUAUUUCUUCGAAAACCUAUAUCCGUUCGAACCUCGACGACAAAGUUACAGUACGAAAUUACCAACAGAAAACCUCGACAACAAAGAUAGACAUUGGGAAAAUUCAGACAACCGACGUGGCCUGAUAAAUUUCAGACUUGAUACGACACUACCAACUUGACUACGACCUGACAAUUCCCAAUACAACCUCCGUUGAAAUAUUGAUUACACACGGACAAUACAACCUGUCUACGUCAAAAUAAUUAGGGAUCUCGAACAAACUACUUCAAAUAUACUAGUU
rnacentral:rRNA from 1 species